rnacentral:rRNA from 1 species
UGCCGCGUGCGGGAAGAAGGCCUUCGGGUUGUAAACCGCUUUUGUCAGGGAAGAAACGGGUUUCUCUAAUACAGAGACCUAAUGACGGUACCUGAAGAAUAAGCACCGGCUAACUACGUGCCAGCAGCCGCGGUAAUACGUAGGGUGCAAGCGUUAAUCGGAAUUACUGGGCGUAAAGCGUGCGCAGGCGGUUAUGCAAGACAGAGGUGAAAUCCCCGGGCUCAACCUGGGAACUGCCUUUGUGACUGCAUAGCUAGAGUACGGUAGAGGGGGAUGGAAUUCCGCGUGUAGCAGUGAAAUGCGUAGAUAUGCGGAGGAACACCGAUGGCGAAGGCAAUCCCCUGGACCUGUACUGACGCUCAUGCACGAAAGCGUGGGGAGCAAACAGGAUUAGAUACCCUGGUAGUCCACGCCCUAAACGAUGUCAACUGGUUGUUGGGAGGGUUUCUUCUCAGUAACGAAGCUA